rnacentral:rRNA from 1 species
AGAACGAACGCUGGCGGCAGGCUUAACACAUGCAAGUCGAGCGCCCCGCAAGGGGAGCGGCAGACGGGUGAGUAACGCGUGGGAACAUACCCUCCGGUUCGGAAUAGCUCAGGGAAACUUGGAUUAAUACCGGAUACGGCCUAGCGGCGAAAGAUUCAUCGCCGGAGGAUUGGCCCGCGUCUGAUUAGCUAGUUGGUGGGGUAAUGGCCCACCAAGGCGACGAUCAGUAGCUGGUCUGAGAGGAUGAUCAGCCACAUUGGGACUGAGACACGGCCCAAACUCCUACGGGAGGCAGCAGUGGGGAAUAUUGGACAAUGGGCGCAAGCCUGAUCCAGCCAUGCCGCGUGAGUGAUGACGGCCUUAGGGUUGUAAAGCUCUUUCGCUAGGGACGAUAAUGACGGUACCUAGACAAGAACGCCCGGCUAACUUCGCGCCAGCAGCCGC